rnacentral:rRNA from 1 species
UACGUAGGCAGCGAGCGUUGUUCGGAGUUACUGGGCGUAAAGAGUGCGUAGGCGGUUUUCUAAGUUUGGUGUGAAAUCUCCCGGCUUAACUGGGAGGGUGCGCCGAAAACUGGAAGGCUUGAGUAUGGGAGAGGUAAGCGGAAUUCCUGGUGUAGCGGUGAAAUGCGUAGAUAUCUGGAGGAACACCGGUGGCGAAGGCGGCGUUCUGGACUGUCUCUGACACUGAAGAACGAAAGCCAGGGGAGCAAACGGG